rnacentral:rRNA from 1 species
CCUACGGGAGGCAGCAGUGGGGAAUAUUGCACAAUGGGGGAAACCCUGAUGCAGCGACGCCGCGUGAGUGAAGAAGUAUCUCGGUACGUAAAGCUCUAUCAGCAGGGAAGAUAAUGACGGUACCUGACCAAGAAGCCCCGGCUAACUACGUGCAAGCAGCCGCAGGAAUACGUAGGGGGCAAGCGUUAUCCUGAUUUACUGGGUGUAAAGGGAGCGUUGACGGCAGCACAAGUCUGGAGUGAAAUCCACGGGCGUAACCCCGGAACUGCUUUUGAAACUGUGCGGCUUGAGUGCCGGAGGGGUAAGCGGAAUUCCUAGUGUAGCGGUGAAAUGCGUAGAUAUGAGGAGGAACACCGGUGGCGAAGGCGGCUUACUGGACUGUAACUGACGUUGAGGCUCGAAAGCGUGGGGAGCAAACAGGAUUAGAUACCCUAGUAGUC